rnacentral:tRNA from 1 species
GCGGAAGUAGCUCAGCGGUAGAGCGCGGCCUUGCCAUGGCCGAGGACGAGGGUUCGAUCCCCUUCUUCCGCU